GGGAGUCAGCACCGGUGUGCGGCUGGGUCUUAUACCCCCGGGUGCGCCAGAUCAGCGUAGACGGGCCGGUUCGACUCCGGCGGCUCCUACCA
rnacentral:tRNA from 2 species